rnacentral:rRNA from 1 species
GACGAACGCUGGCGGCGUGCUUAACACAUGCAAGUCGAACGGAAAGGCCCUGCUUUUGUGUGGUGCUCGAGUGGCGAACGGGUGAGUAACACGUGAGUAACCUGCCCUUGACUUUGGGAUAACUUCAGGAAACUGGGGCUAAUACCGGAUAGGAGCUCCUGCUGCAUGGUGGGGGUUGGAAAGUUUCGGCGGUUGUGGAUGGACUCGCGGCUUAUCAGCUUGUUGGUGGGGUAGUGGCUUACCAAGGCUUUGACGGGUAGCCGGCCUGAGAGGGUGACCGGGCACAUUGGGACUGAGAUACGGCCCAGACUCCUACGGGGGGCAGAAGUGGGGAAUAUUGCACAAUGGGCGGAAGCCUGAUGCAGCAACGCCGCGUGCGGGAUGACGGCCUUCGGGUUGUAAACCGCUUUCGCCUGUGACGAAGCGUGAGUGACGGUAAUGGGUAAAGAAGCACCGGCUAACUACGUG